rnacentral:rRNA from 1 species
AUACGUAGGUGGCAAGCGUUGUCCGGAAUUAUUGGGCGUAAAGCGCGCGCAGGUGGUUCCUUAAGUCUGAUGUGAAAGCCCCCGGCUCAACCGGGGAGGGUCAUUGGAAACUGGGGAACUUGAGUGCAGAAGAGGAUAGUGGAAUUCCAAGUGUAGCGGUGAAAUGCGUAGAGAUUUGGAGGAACACCAGUGGCGAAGGCGACUGUCUGGUCUGUAACUGACACUGAGGCGCGAAAGCGUGGGGAGCAAACAGGAUUAGAUACCCUGGUAGUCCACGCCGUAAACGAUGAGUGCUAAGUGUUGGGGGGUUUCCGCCCCUCAGUGCUGCAGCUAACGCAUCAAGCACUCCGCCUGGGGAGUACGGUCGCAAGACUGAAACUCAAAUGAAUUGACGGGG